GUUAUAUUGUGGUCGGUUAUGUAUAUUUUUAACGAGCGCAUGGCCGCUGUUGCAAGAGGGAGGAGCGAAAAAGAAUCUAUAUAAACACAUAAAUAUAUACAUGCCUUCAUUAGUCAUGACCAAGUGUGGUUUUCAACUCUAAAAGGAGUGUGUCGUGGUAAACUAAAAAGUGCUGGCGCCAUUUGGAGUUCUAAAAUUAUCGGAGUUCUCCAGAAAAGCCUGACAGUAAUUUAUCAAAUUCGAGAAAAAAAUUUAAUUCAAGAAAAAAUUGAACAAAAGUGGGCAGAGUUUUCAGUUUAUUUUAGACAUUUUUCCAGGGAGACAAUGGCAAUUUAUUUAUACUCGCUUGAGGACAAGAGCGCCUAGCGCUAAAUUCCGAAUAUGUUUACAGUAAACAGACUGCAUACUUGUAUCUCGCAACGUUUCGAUAAAACACAAUACGACCAGGUUGAGAUAGCUACCGAGAGUUGAAGAGGAAAGCGAAAUGCAUAUGGAGAUAAAAAAAUGAAGUGAUCGAAAUGCGGGAGUAUAAAGAUCUUGAGAAGCUGGCCGACAGGAGUAAUGUUCGAGACUACGAAAAAUUCUACGAAUAUAUACGCGACUAAUAGAAGGCUUCGAGAAGGCAGCAUACUCUUAUAGAACCCAAAGAAGUGAUCUAGCGGCUGAUAACCAAAGUGUGCUGAGUUUUUGAAAGGUAUACUUCUCUAGCCUGCUAAGCGUCAAUGAAAGUAUAACAGCGAUUCCGCAGUCGAUAACGAUUAAACCAAUGUUCCAUUAGCCGACUAUGAAGACCUGAAGAACAACAAAGCGACGUGGGCCGAUAUAUUCAAAUACGGCGGCCAAGAACUGAUAAGCUGCAUACAUCAGCUUAUUUGCAGAAUAUAGUCGGACAAAAGCUUACAUCAAAAUUGAAACCUAAGUUCUGCCCAGUCCACAAAAAGAAAGACCCGACAAUCUGCGCCAAUUACGGUAGGGUAAGUCUCCUAAAUAUCGCGUAAAAGGUCCUCAUAAGCGGGUUGUGUAAAAUCAACAAUUGACCAAUUAUUCACCAUGCGCUAAAUCUUUUGAAAAGACCCGUGAAAAGAUGAUCGACACACAACACCUUUUCGUCUAUUUGAAAGCUGCCUCUAUAUCGCUAUGUCUGAACUUGACAUCUCCUCAAAACUAAUUUUGCUGUGUAACUGACGUUAAGCAACACCAAAAGCUCCGACAAUAUCGGUGAAGACCUUUCCAAGCAGUUCGAUACAAAACAAGGUUUCAGACAGCAUGAUCCGACUCGUGUGAUUUCUUAAAUCUACUGCUGGACAAAAUAAUACUUGUAUGAACUGCAGAGCUAAAAAGAGAAGGCACAAUCUUUUAUAAGAGUAUCUGCUGACACUGAAUAAAAAGCGUAGCGUAUGGGCUUGGUAGUGAAGGAGGUCAUAAAAUAAACAGACGUCAUAUUCGCAACAUAACACCCACGUCACUGUUGACAGUCAUAAUAUCUGAAGUCGUAGGUAAUUUCAUCUAUCUUGGAACCAACAUUAACACCAUCAACAAUGCCAGAUUAAGACCAAAUGAAAUGUGACACUUCCUUAAAGUCAAAUCGAUUUCAGUUAUACCGAAUUCCCACUCAUAGUUAAAUAUGGCAAUAAAUUAAAAUAACUCGCUUAAUUACAGUUUGAUGCAAAAUUUAUAGAAAAUCAAAAAUAUUCUGUAAAUAACAACAAAGCCAUUUAGUUGAAUGCAUUACAAAAGAGAGGGAGUAUAAUCACUUGCUCUAUCUGAUUAGGUCAGUCCGUUUCAUUUAUGUCAGUUGUCUGUUCGUUUCGCCGUUUCCAAUAUUCGACCAAUUGAAGACAAUUAAUAUAAUUUGGAUUUAUUUAUGAUCAAUGAAAUCUGGGACUCUAAGCUGCUUAAUUGCAGUGUUAUUUGGAUAAUAUCGAUUAACUUUCUUUGGGCUCAGCCGAAAAUUUGAAUUGAAUUUACUCGAUCUCGGGCUUUAGGCUGUAAGCCAGAAGCAAGACUUGCACGUUCUUUUCGGCGUAACUAUGAUACUAGAUGCAACCGUGAAAUUCUGCUAAGCCAGAACCUGACCAAAAUUUUAAAGAAAAGCAACUGCAUUGUCAUUUUUGAUUAUUUAAAGAACACAGACGCUUUUUUUGUACAAAACUAACUAUAGUCUCAGACCAACGAAUUCAAAACUUUUUGUUUCACUAAGGCAAAAAGUGGACCUUUUAGAAAUCAGAACACACGGAAUGUUUGAAUGCAGAUAAAUAAGCCCGAAUGGACUGAAAAUACAUUAUGACAUACCGAUAUUAUUUAGA